GAGAAGAGAAGGAAAAAGAGAAAGAAGGAAGAAAGGGGAAGAAGAGGACGCGAGGUGUGAGGAACUCGAAUUGGAGCUCAAGUUUGGGGAUUUCUUCAUUUCCAAUUCCAGCUGGGUGGUGACGAGGAAAUUGAAAACGUUUAUUAGGCAAUCUAGCUUGUAGCUCCUACCUUGUGAGUGGAUAAAACUUAUUUUUAAGAAAUAAGUCUUCUUUAAAUUUUAAAGUUAUUUAUUUUAUAAAGUUGACU